UAAAAACAAGGUGUUCACAGCAGGCAUGG
rnacentral:piRNA from 1 species